GAUGAACGCUGGCGGCGUGCCUAAUACAUGCAAGUCGAGCGAACGGACGAGAAGCUUGCUUCUCUGACGUUAGCGGCGGACGGGUGAGUAACACGUGGAUAACCUACCUAUAAGACUGGGAUAACUUCGGGAAACCGUAGCUAAUACCGGAUAAUAUAUUGAACCGCAUGGUUCAAUAGUGAAAGACGGUCUUGCUGUCACUUAUAGAUGGAUCCGCGCUGCAUUAGCUAGUUGGUAAGGUAACGGCUUACCAAGGCAACGAUGCAUAGCCGACCUGAGAGGGUGAUCGGCCACACUGGAACUGAGACACGGUCCAGACUCCUACGGGAGGCAGCAGUAGGGAAUCUUCCGCAAUGGGCGAAAGCCUGACGGAGCAACGCCGCGUGAGUGAUGAAGGUCUUCGGAUCGUAAAACUCUGUUAUUAGGGAAGAACAUAUGUGUAAGUAACUGUGCACAUCUUGACGGUACCUAAUCAGAAAGCCACGGCUAACUACGUG
rnacentral:rRNA from 1 species